UUAAGCUAUAAAGAGCACAGGGUGGAUGCCUAGGCACUGAGAGCCGAUGAAGGACGUGAUAAGCUGCGAAAAGCCACGGGGAGGAGCAAAUAUCCUUUGAGCCGUGGAUAUCCGAAUGGGGGAACCCACUUAAGUAAACCUUAAGUACUGACAAGCCAAUACAUAACUUGCCAGAGGGAACCCGGGGAACUGAAACAUCUAAGUACCCGGAGGAAGAGAAAGAAACAUCGAUUUCCUUAGUAGCGGCGAGCGAAAGGGAAAGAGCCCAAACCGAGAGAUUUAUCUUUCGGGGUUAGGACUGCAUAAUUGAUCUGCGAUUGAUAGGAGAAUGGUCUGGGAAGUCCAGCAGGAAAGCGUGAAAGCCGCGUAUCCGAAAUUGAAAGCAGCAAGGCAGUAUCCAGAGUACCACGAGACACGAGGAACCUUGUGGGAAUGAGCGGAGACCACUCCGUAAGGCUAAAUACUACUCAGUGACCGAUAGCGCAUAGUACUGUGAAGGAAAGGUGAAAAGGACCCCGGGAGGGGAGUGAAAGAGAACCUGAAACCCUGUGUUUACAAGCUGUCGGAGCACGUUAGUGCGACGGCGUACUUUUUGUAGAACGGUCCGGCGAGUUAUGAUACGCGGUAAGGUUAAGGACUUAAGGUCCGGAGCCGAAGCGAAAGCGAGUGUUAAGAGCACGAGGAAUCACGUAUCAUAGACCCGAAACCGGGUGAUCUAUCCAUGUCCAGGAUGAAGCUGCCGUAAGAGGUAGUGGAGGUCCGAACACACAUCCGUUGAAAAGGGUGGUGAUGAGGUGUGGAUAGGGGAGAAAUUCCAAUCGAACCCGGAGAUAGCUGGUUCUCCUCGAAAUAGCUUUAGGGCUAGCCUUCAGUUAGUCUGCCGCAGGUAGAGCACUGAAUUUCCUAGGGGGCGUCAAAGCCUACCGAAGAAUAUCAAACUGCGAAUGGCGGACAGAUGAUGCUGGGGAGUCAGACUGCACGAGAUAAGUUGGGUGGUCAAAAGGGAAAGAGCCCAGACCUACAGCUAAGGUCCCAAAGUGCGUGUUAAGUGGAAAAGGAUGUGGGAUUUCGAAGACAACUAGGAUGUUGGCUCAGAAGCAGCCACACAUUAAAAGAGUGCGUAAUAGCUCACUAGUCGAGAGGUCCUGCGCCGAAAAUGUCCGGGGCUGAAACACGACACCGAAGCUUAGGAACAAAGAAACCAAGGUUUCUAUAUGUUGGUAGAGGAGCAUUGUUAGCGGAACGAAGCCAUACCGGAAGGAGUGGUGGACUGCUAAGAAGAGAGAAUGCCGGAAUGAGUAGCGAGAUUGAAGUGAGAAUCUUCAAGGCCGAAUAUCUAAGGUUUCCAGGGUAAAGCUGAUCUGCCCUGGGUAAGUCGGGGCCUAAGGCGAGGUCGAAAGACGUAGCCGAUGGACAACAGGUUGAAAUUCCUGUACUGCGAUAUAUCAGAAAUGUGGGGACACAGAAGGAAAGUGUGAGCCGGGAAAGGAAAGACCGGUGCAAGCACAGGAGGAGGGAUACAGGCAAAUCCGUAUUUCAAUCCAAUGGUGUUACGCGGAGCGAACAAAAGUAGCGAAGCACACAGACCAUCUGUCGAGAAAAGCCGCUAUUGUGUAUAUUGUACCCGUACCGUAAACCGACACAGGUGGAUGAGGAGAGAAUCCUAAGGCCGGCGGGAGAAGCAUUGUUAAGGAACUCGGCAAAAUGACCCCGUAACUUCGGGAGAAGGGGUGCUCACGCAAGUGAGCCGCAGAGAACUGGCCCAAGCAACUGUUUAGCAAAAACACAGGUCUAUGCAAAACCGAAAGGUGAGGUAUAUGGGCUGACGCCUGCCCGGUGCUGGAAGGUUAAGAGGAGAUGUUAGAGCAAUCGAAGCAUUGAAUUUAAGCCCCAGUAAACGGCGGCCGUAACUAUAACGGUCCUAAGGUAGCGAAAUUCCUUGUCGGGUAAGUUCCGACCC
rnacentral:rRNA from 1 species